rnacentral:tRNA from 2 species
GCAGUCGUGGCCGAGUGGAUAAGGCGAUAGACUAGAAAUCUAUUGGGGUCUCCCCGCACAGGCUCAAACCCUGUCGACUGCG